AAUAAUAGAUGGUUGAUCUUU
rnacentral:miRNA from 1 species